rnacentral:rRNA from 1 species
AGAGGGUGCGAGCGUUGUUCGGAAUUACUGGGCGUAAAGCGUGUGUAGGCGGCUUAUUAAGCUUGAUGUGAAAUCUUUGGGCUUAACCCAAAAACUGCAUCGAGAACUGGUAAGCUAGAGUCUAGGAGAGGGCAGUGGAAUUCCUGGUGUAGAGGUGAAAUUCGUAGAUAUCAGGAGGAACACCGGUGGCGAAGGCGGCUGCCUGGACUAGUACUGACGCUGAGACACGAAAGCGUGGGGAGCAAACAGGAUUAGAUACCCUGGUAGUCCACGCCGUAAACGAUGAGCACUAGCUGUCGCGGGUAUUGACCCCUGCGGCGACGCAGAUAACUCCUUAAGUGCUCCGCCUGGGAAGUACGGCCGCAAGGUUAAA